GAGAAGUACAGACCUGAGUAUAAUGGAGACCUCUAGCCUCUAAUCAUGGGCACUGAAAGGGAUUGCAGACUUGAAGGGGUUGACCAACUACCUGCAAGUCAUGGGCAUUCAAUUUUGUGUAAGAGACAGCCAGUUCACCCAAAGAUGCAGGCAGGGGGAGAAGGAUGGCCGUGUUCACCAAACCAUAAUGGAAGAUGAUGAUGAAACCAUACUGUCGAAACAAAUGGAGCGGGAGAAAAUGCCUCCUCCCCACAAACCAAAGGAAACAUUUGUGAGUGAAAGGUGUUGCUAUUAAUCCUUACUCAAGAACAACCACCAUAAACCAAGAAU